AGGGUGUAAACGCUGCAGACUUGGUGUUGGGAACCCUUCGGGGGUGGCUCAGUGCCGGAGAGAAGUUGUUAAGUCUGCUACUUGGGGAGGUACGUCCGCAAGGAUGAAACUUAAAGGAAUUGGCGGGGGGAGGCACCGCAACGGGAGGAGCGUGCGGUUUAAUUGGAUUCAACGCCGGACAUCUCACCAGGGGCGGACAGCAGAAUGAUGGCCAGGUUGAUGACCUUGCUUGACAAGCUGAGAGGUGGUGCAUGGCGUGUGACUGU
rnacentral:rRNA from 1 species